rnacentral:rRNA from 1 species
UACGUAGGGUGCAAGCGUUGUCCGGAAUUAUUGGGCGUAAAGAGCUUGUAGGCGGUUUGUCGCGUCUGCUGUGAAAAUCCGGGGCUCAACCCCGGACUUGCAGUGGGUACGGGCAGACUAGAGUGUGGUAGGGGAGAUCGGAAUUCCUGGUGUAGCGGUGAAAUGCGCAGAUAUCAGGAGGAACACCGGUGGCGAAGGCGGAUCUCUGGGCCAUUACUGACGCUGAGGAGCGAAAGCGUGGGGAGCGAACAGG